rnacentral:rRNA from 1 species
AGCGAACGCUGGCGGCAGGCCUAACACAUGCAAGUCGAACGAAGUCUUCGGACUUAGUGGCGGACGGGUGAGUAACACAUGGGAACGUGCCUUUAGGUUCGGAAUAACUCAGGGAAACCUGUGCUAAUACCGAAUGUGCCCUUCGGGGGAAAGAUUUAUCGCCUUUAGAGCGGCCCGCGUCUGAUUAGCUAGUUGGUGCGGUAAAGGCUCACCAAGGCUACGAUCAGUAGCUGGUCUGAGAGGAUGACCAGCCACAUUGGGACUGAGAAACGGCCCAAACUCCUACGGGAGGCAGCAGUGGGGAAUCUUGCGCAAUGGGCGAAAGCCUGACGCAGCCAUGCCGCGUGGAUGAUGAAGGUCUUAGGAUUGUAAAAUCCUUUCACCGGUGAAGAUAAUGACUGUAGCCGGAGAAGAAGCCCCGGCUAACUUCGUGCCAGCCGCCGCGGUAAAAC